rnacentral:rRNA from 1 species
GAUGAACGCUGGCGGCGUGCCUAAUACAUGCAAGUUGAGCGAACAGAUUAGGUGCUUGUUCCUCUGACGUUAGCGGCGGACGGGUGAGUAACACGUGGAUAAUCUACCUAUAAGCCUGGGAUAACUUCGGGAAACCGGAGCUAAUACCGGAUAAUAUAUUUAACCGCAAGGUUCAAUAUUGAAAGACGGAUUUGCUUUCAUUUAUAAAUGUAUCCCCUCGUAAUAGGUUAGUUGGUAAGGAAACGGCUAACCAAGGCAACAAUCAGUAGCCGCCCGGAAGGGUUGAUCGGCCCAUUGGGACUGAGGACCCGGUCCAGCUCCCACCGGGAGGCGCCAGUGGGGAAUCUUCCGAAAGGAGCGAAGGCCUGCCGGAGCACCGCCGCGUGAGUGAUGAGGGUCUUCGGAUCGUAAACCCCUGUUAUAAGGGAGGAACAAAUGUGUAAGUAACAAUGCACGUCGUGACGGUACCUAAUCAGAAAGCCACGGCUAACUACGUG